rnacentral:rRNA from 1 species
UACAGAGGUCUCAAGCGUUGUUCGGAUUCAUUGGGCGUAAAGGGUGCGUAGGCGGCGCGGUAAGUCGGGUGUGAAAUCUCGGGGCUUAACUCCGAAACUGCAUUCGAUACUGCCGUGCUUGAGGACUGGAGAGGAGACUGGAAUUUACGGUGUAGCGGUGAAAUGCGUAGAGAUGUGGAGGAACACCGAUGGCGAAGGCAGCCCCCUGGGUCAAGAUUGACGCUCGAUGCACGAAAGCGUGGGGAGCAAACAGG